UACGUAGGGUGCAAGCGUUGUCCGGAAUUAUUGGGCGUAAAGAGCUCGUAGGCGGUCUGUUGCGUCGGCUGUGAAAACCCGGGGCUCAACUCCGGGCCUGCAGCCGAUACGGGCAGACUAGAGUUCGGCAGGGGAGACUGGAAUUCCUGGUGUAGCGGUGAAAUGCGCAGAUAUCAGGAGGAACACCGGAGGCGAAGGCGGCUUGCUGGGCGUGAUCUGACGCUGAGGCGCGAAAGCGUGGGGAGCGAACAGG
rnacentral:rRNA from 1 species